CUCUGGGGAGGUGUACGAAAUGGGAGGCUUUUACAAGAGGGAGGGUGGGAUAAGUAAGUUAUUAGCAAAAGAAAAGAAAAGAUUGUCACAGGCAAGGUCACUUCCCUUAGGGGGAAAAGCAGAGGGUUUUAUCCUGCAGAUUACCUUCUUUUGCUUUGCCGUUAAGGAUGGAGAGGCCCAGGGGGCAGACUACCUCACUAGUGCGGACGAGGAAGUUCCUGGCUGACCGCUUAAAGCUACUUGAGAAACAGCCAGUGCAAGAAGGAUAGUCUGACCCUGCUUGUCUCCCUGAAAACAAGAGGGCAACUCUACCUGAAUUUGAUGGGCAUCUCUCCCCUUCUUGUCGGGGCCGUUGGGUGAAUAAUUCCUAUUUGCAAGGAGCAGCUGCAGCUGGGAUGAGUGGUGGAUAGAGCUCGAGCCUUCUGACUCCUCGAAGUCUUCGCCUUCACUUGUAGUCCUCACUUGGAGGCUCUGGAUCCAAGUCCUACAUGGAUGCUGACUGUUGAGAUUUCCAAACCGCAGAAUUUCAGAGGCCUAGUCGCUCCUUGCGUGGAGCCGUAUUCCUCUUGCAGAGCUGAGUGUCCAUUUGAUGAGCUUUGGAGGAGGACAACGAGACUGAGACCAGCUCAGUCUUCCCCACCUUCCUUCCCGCAUUCAUCACCUGGAAUCAUCUGCACUUUAUUAAUAUCUACAACUUACAUUCUUUCUCUAUCAGGCUGUAAAAUAACCUAAUGAGUUAAAGGCGACCAAAGACUCGCCCCUCCACAGAUCAGGUACCUGGAGGCUGCCUCAUGGCACCACAGUGAGUCAGUGAGAGGCCACCCUGGGAUCCCCUUCUUCCGCUUCCAAGUAGUUGGUAAUCUGUUCUGAUAGCUCACAUCUCUUUUAUUAAUAACCCCCUUUUCCCUUUUUAUUUCUCCAUGUCAACAUUUCAUUCUCAGGCCUGCUUUUAUCGGUAGGUACCGACUGGUGGAAUGCCAGCACUUAACCUUGAAAACACAGACCUCUUCUAGUGCAGGACAGAGAAAGCCCCUUCUCUGCAGCUGCUGAGGAAGAGAUCCUGGAGGGCUUCAUAAAAUGGACCUGGCCACUGAUACUUCCGAUGAAGGAUUUUCAAAGACGGCGACUGACUUCAGAUUGUAUGACCUCUGAAAGUCACGUUUAAAUUCUAAGUCUGCAAAUGAUUGUCUUUCUCUUUAUUUUUUAAUUUUAAAUUUUUUUAAUUUAAAUUUUACUUAGUUAACAUACAGUGCAAUAUUGGUUUCUGAUGUCUUUCUCUUUAAAAAUGUGUUGCCCUCGUCAUAAGAUGCUAACUGGAACUGCCUUUUCGCCUUCAAGACCUUUACCUUUGUGAUAUUUCUUUGUUCAGUCAGAAGACAAUUUGGUUCUUAUUUCUUUCAUAUGCAUGAAGGUAAAGUAAAAAAUAAAAUAAAAUCAGUGAUUCACUAGACAGUUGAUUUAAACAGAAUGUGAGAGUCUGUGUCUCAUUUAAAUAGACAGUAGAAAAUGGGCUAAAAGAGAGAAAGAAAGAGCCUGGGUUCAGGGAGCAAGGGUGGGC